rnacentral:rRNA from 1 species
GACGAACGCUGGCGGCGUGCUUAACGCAUGCAAGUCGAACGGAAAGGCCUCUUUCGGGGGGUACUCGAGUGGCGAACGGGUGAGUAACACGUGAGUAACCUGCCCUUGACUUUGGGAUAACUUCAGGAAACUGGGGCUAAUACCGGAUAGGAGCUCCUGCUGCAUGGUGGGGGUUGGAAAGUUUCGGCGGUUGGGGAUGGACUCGCGGCUUAUCAGCUUGUUGGUGGGGUAGUGGCUUACCAAGGCUUUGACGGGUAGCCGGCCUGAGAGGGUGACCGGUCACAUUGGGACUGAGAUACGGCCCAGACUCCUACGGGAGGCAGCAGUGGGGAAUAUUGCACAAUGGGUGGAAGCCUGAUGCAGCAACGCCGUGUGCGGGAUGACGGCCUUCGGGUUGUAAACCGCUUUCGCUCAUGACGAAGCUUUGUGUGACGGUAGUGGGUAAAGAAGCACCGGCUAACUACGUG